CGCACCUUGCGCUCCUUGGUAUUCCGAGGAGCAUGCCUGUUUGAGUGUCAUUUAAUCAUCAAUCUGCAACUUUGCUGUUGUUGUAUUGGACUUGGGGACUUGCUGGUUCUAAUCAGGAUUGGCUUCCCUCAAAUGCAUUAGCUGGAGUAAUACAAGCAGCGUAUAUGCGGUGUGAUAAUAUCUUCACUGUGUUGCUCUUGUUGAGUCUAGCUUCUAAUCGUCCUUCAGUUGGACAGCUUUGACAAUUUGACCUCAAAUCAGGUAGGACUACCCGCUGAACUUAA
rnacentral:misc_RNA from 1 species